CACACACAUAUAUAUAGUUUGUGUGUAUAUAUGUAUAUAUAUGUAUGUAUACAUAGAUAUAUAUGUGUGUAUAUACAUAUACACACAUAUAUAUACAUAUAUAUGUAUAUA
rnacentral:miRNA from 1 species